UUUCCGUAGGUGAACCUGCGGAAGGAUCAUUCAUAAUAAAGUGUUUUAUGACACUUUUUAAAAAUCCAUAUCCACCUUGUGUGCAAUGUUAGAUCUCGUCAAUCUUGGCGAGAUUUUUAUACAUCAACUCAUUCUUUAACUAAUUUGUCUGAAAAAUAUUAUGAAUACUUAAUUCAAAAUACAACUUUCAACAACGGAUCUCUUGGCUCUC
rnacentral:misc_RNA from 1 species